UACAGAGGUCCCAAGCGUUGUUCGGAUUCACUGGGCGUAAAGGGUGCGUAGGAGGCUGGGAAAGUCGGAUGUGAAAUCUCACCGCUCAACGGUGAAACUGCAUUCGAUACUACUCGGCUAGAGGAUCGGAGGGGAGAGCAGAAUUCUUGGUGUAGCGGUGAAAUGCGUAGAUAUCGGAAGGAACAUCAGUGGCGAAAGCGACUUCCUGGACCAAUACUGACGCUCAUGUGCGAAAGCGUGGGGAGCAAACAGG
rnacentral:rRNA from 1 species